rnacentral:rRNA from 1 species
UUGGUGAUUUAUAAUAACUUAGCAAAUCGCAAAGUGAAAACAGGCGAUAAAUCAUUCAAGUUUCUGACCUAUCAGCUUUCGACGGUAUGGUAUUGGCUUACCGUGGCAGUGACGGUUAACGGGGGAUUAGGGUUCGAUUCCGGAGAGGGAGCCUGAGAAACGGCUACCACAUCUAAGGAAGGCAGCAGGCGCGCAAAUUACCCAAUUCUAACAGUUUGAGAGAGGUAGUAACAAGAAAUAACAAUACAAGGCAGUUAAAAUGCUUUGUAAUUGGAAUGAUAGAAAUUUAAACCCUUUUUAAAGUAUCAAUUGGAGGGCAAGUCUGGUGCCAGCAGCCGCGGUAAUUCCAGCUCCAAUAGCGUAUAUUAAAAUUGUUGCAGUUAAAAAGCUCGUAGUUGAAGUUCUGCUGAAAGUAACCGGUCUGCUUUUAAUAAAAGUGGUAUCUUGGUAUGUAUUUAGCAAUGAUGUCCUUUGAAGUGUUUUUUACUUUAUUGUAAUAAAGCAUAUUCAGGACUUUUACUUUGAGAAAAUUAGAGUGUUUCUAGCAGGCUAACGCUUUGAAUACUGCAGC